rnacentral:lncRNA from 1 species
CACCCAACCCAUAAAACCAGUCAGGACGGAGCGACCCUGGGGGGCUGACUUGGGCAGCGCAGGAGAGGCUGGGGAAGCCCAGGUCAGGCCUAAGCGACUCUGGCUGGAGACACACGGUACAAAGGAGGUCACUGCCAUGCUGUCCUCUGGUCCCUGGAGCCCCACUUGGAACUCCAGGAUGGGUUGGGAGCCAUUUGCAAAUGAAGAAACUGAGGCUAGGCGCCGAGUCUGACUCACAGGGCACGUCUGGGCCUGGCGGCCGGUCCUCACUCCUAACCAGGGCAGCUUCCCCCAGCCCUCGAGGGCAGGGCUGUGUCUGUCUGGACUUCCUCACCACGCUGGUGUGUCUGAGGGCCUCUGUAGCAUCCCCCGCCCUCCUGGCCUCCCACAGCCCCUGCAGCGGGUAUCUGUGAGGCCCAGGCUGGAGUGAGAGCAGAGUGAGCGCUGGGCCCCCGGGGAGGCCGUCGUGGGCACACCUAUUCAGCACCUUGACCUUUGAGGCCCGAGGUAAAGUUGAGCUUUCGGCCACCCAGCCCAGGCCCCCUCUGCUCGGACCUGAGCAGGGCUGUGCACCCCUGCACACCACCCAGGCCCUCCUUCCCCACCCCACAGGCAAACCUGCCCUUGCUGCAGCGGGAGCUCCUGCACUGUGCACGCCUGGCCAAGCAGACGCCCGCCCAGUACCUGGCCCAGCAUGAGCAGCUCCUG